rnacentral:misc_RNA from 1 species
GUAUUUCGAAUUAUGUAUUCAAAAAAUUUCAGACAAAAAAUUUCAAUAAAGGGUUGGUAUUAUACUGCCAAGAACGCGCAAAAACGCGAACUCGUCAGCAAACAUUGCACACAAGGUGAAUACUGAUUUUUAAAGAGUGCCAUAAAACACUCAUUGUGAAUGAUCCUUCCGCAGGUUCACCUACGGAAA